UACAGAGGGGGCAAGCGUUGUUCGGAAUUACUGGGCGUAAAGGGCGCGUAGGCGGCCUUCUAAGUCGAACGUGAAAUCCCCGGGCUCAACCCGGGAACUGCGUCCGAUACUGGAAGGCUUGAAUCCGGGAGAGGGAUGUGGAAUUCCAGGUGUAGCGGUGAAAUGCGUAGAUAUCAGGAGGAACACCGGUGGCGAAGGCGGAUCUCUGGGCCUUACCUGACGCUGAGGCGCGAAAGCUAGGGGAGCGAACAGG
rnacentral:rRNA from 1 species